GGCGAAGAUGAUGACUGCUUCAUUCUUACACCUCUCGUAUGAGAAGAGCCUUCAGAGGUUCUUCUUUGAGUAUAGUUAGCAAGUCUCUGAGCC
rfam:Macleaya cordata isolate BLH2017 scaffold8965, whole genome shotgun sequence.